GACGUAGGAUGCGAGCGUUGUCCGGAUUUAUUGGGCGUAAAGAGUUCGUAGGCGGUUCGUUAAGUCUGAUGUUAAAGACUGGGGCUCAACCCUGGGAGUGCAUUGGAUACUGGCGGACUGGAGUGCAGUAGAGGCAAGCGGAAUUCCCGGUGUAGCGGUGAAAUGCGCAGAUAUCGGGAGGAACACCGAUGGCGAAGGCAGGUCUCUGGGCAUUAACUGACGCUGAGGAGCGAAAGCAUGGGGAGCGAACAGG
rnacentral:rRNA from 1 species